UUUCAUUAUAUUGUUUGGAUACUACUUU
rnacentral:piRNA from 1 species